UACCAGCACCCCGAGUGGUCGGGACGAUUAUUGGGCCUAAAGCAUCCGUAGCCGGCCUUACAAGUCCUCCGUUAAAUCCAGCUGCUCAACAGAUGGGCCGCGGAGGAUACUACAGAGCUAGGAGGCAGGAGAGGCAAGCGGUACUCAGUGGGUAGGGGUAAAAUCCGUUGAUCCAUUGAAGACCACCAGUGGCGAAGGCGGCUUGCCAGAAUGCGCUCGACGGUGAGGGAUGAAAGCUGGGGGAGCAAACCGG
rnacentral:rRNA from 1 species